rnacentral:misc_RNA from 1 species
GAGUAGGUUCCGAUAGAUCGGCGGGUCUAUUCUGGCAUUUAAGAGGGGUCUCGCAAACUUCUUUGUCAGCCGUGGGGUUGGUAGCCUCCAGGUGGCCUACACA